rfam:Ipomoea nil DNA, scaffold: scaffold2957, cultivar: Tokyo-kokei standard.
GCACUAGUGGUUUAGUGGUAGAAUGGUACCCUGCCACGGUAUAGACCCGGGUUCGAUUCCUGGCUGGUGCA